UGGCAUGAGAAGCCUGCAGUUUUGAAAGACCAUUGUGUACAAUGGUUAGACAUAGGGAGGGAGAAAGGAGGCUCCAGGAAGAAUCGGAAUGAGAACUGAUGAGGACCUGAACUGCAGCAGGAGGAGAGAGAGUGGCGAGGACGUCUCACGUGUGAGGACGUCUCACGUGCUGUCAUGUCAUUUAUUGGCACCACCUUCAACACAACUACUCAAGCCCAGUUGCUGAGCAUCAUCUGGAAUCCUUUCACCUUCCCAUGCACAAUCCUUGAGAUCCGGAGAUGCUACCUCCAAAAGGCAACCAAAAAAUCUAACGACGACUCACUAUCUUCCCAUCUACUGUCCAGUUGUGUAUAUAUGCGUCUAUGGACCAGGUAGUGUGUCAAAGGUAUUUCUUAGCUGUAGGGUUGCAGCAAAAAAGUUUGGAAGCUAUUCAUUGCCCAUUAGGCAAUUAAAGAGUAAAGAUGUGGCCCCUGCCUACAUCUUUAAUCUCAUCUUCUGUCAUCUCCCCCUCUUUGCUCCUUUAGUCCCUGGAAAGUGGUAAGCUCUUUCCUGCCUUGGGGCCUUAGUAUUUGCUGUUAACUCUACCUGGAACAUUCUCCUUAUCUUUCCCAUGGCUGAUUCACUGCCAUCCUUCAAGUCUCAGUUUAAUGUCAUAUCCUCAGAGAGGCCCCCCAUCCAUAUUAUGUAAACCAUGUCUUCUUCCCAUCACUACACGCUAUGGUCUGAAAGUUUGCAUCUCCCCAAAAUUCAUAUAUUGAAACCUAAUCCCCAAUGAAGAGGAAGAGAUACACAAGGGCACACACCAGGAGAAUGUCAUGUGACAAUGGAAGCAGAGAUUGGAGAGCUGUGUCUAUAAGCCAAGUAACAUCAAGGAUUGCUGGCAACACCAAAAGCUAAGAGAAAGGCGUGGAACGGACUCCCACCUUGAGCCUUCAGAGACAGCGUGGACCUACUGACACCUUGACUUCAGACUUCUAGCCAGAACUUUGAGAGAAUAAAUUUCUGUUUUUUAAGACCCCGUGUUUGUGGUACUUUGUUAUGGCUGCCCUAGUGUAUGCCAUUUGGGUAAAAUUAGAUAACAAAAUAUUUCUAAAAUGAAAUCUAGCUCUAAGGUUGGUGGAUUUUAUGCAGAGUAAUUAGUAAGGGUAUGAAGGUAAGCACAAUAAAGUAUUUGGGGGACCUGGAAAUGAUUUCUAAAGCACGUCUUAUUCCUCGAAGGUAAA
rnacentral:lncRNA from 1 species